UCUUACAAGAAUGCUGACUAUGGAGCCGU
rnacentral:piRNA from 1 species